ensembl:lncRNA
UAUAUUCAUUUUUUAAAUUUCAUUAAAAGAAAUUAUGAUGAAAUUAUAUGGAGAUAUUACGUACAUAUAAUUUUGAAUGAAAAAAAAUGUAAGCCGUAUAUGUAUUAUUAUUGUGCUACUAUAGAAAGGAGAUUCUUAAAAAAUGAAAAAAGGGCUUUGUAUAUUAUGAAAGAAGGAAAUAAAAAAUAUGAAAUGAAAAAAAAAUUUCUUUAUUUGUAUAUAAAUUUUUUAUUAGAAAAAGGAUAUAUAGAUGAAAUAAGAUCCGUUGUUUAUAAAUUUGUAUAUAAUUUUUAUGUUAAAUUUUAUAAAGAAUAUGAACAGAGUCAUGUAAAUAGUAGUAAUAGAAGAGAUGUUUUAUUAGGAAACAAGAAAGGUGUAAAGAAAAUAUCGAAGAUUAUUGCUACAAAUAACCGUCGUAACUAUGGUAGUGGUAGUGAUGGUAGUAAUACUAAUGUUGUCAGUGCAGUUGGUAGUGGUAGUGCAGCUACUGUACCUGUCACAACAGAACCGACAACUACUACCACAAGUGUGGUCACCGAAUUUAACCAAUUUGAACCAGAAUAUUUAAAAUUAUUAAAAAAAAAAAAUAAAUCAUGUGAAAAAAUAUGGAAACUAUUAACACAACUAGAAAUUUUAUAUGGAGAUAUAAACAACUUAAAUAAAGUAUAUGAAAUGAAAUUAAAAUGUGAGGCAGGUUACAAUUUGGAAGAAAAUAAGAAUAUAUUGUUAGAUUUUAGAAAUGUAUCAAACACAAAUGAGCAUACUAAUGUAUUAAUACAAGAUAAUAGCAUCGUAGAUAUAUUAUGUAAAGGUUAUUUAGAAAAAUUAAAAAAAAAUGACGUAGAUAAUUUGAAUUUUAAAAUAAAUUUGGUUAACUCUCAAUUGUUUGGUGGUUCCUCUUUUAAAAAAACAUUUUCUUUUUUUGAGUUUAAUAGUUGUGAUAGUAUAAGCAAUAUAUUGAACCCUUGGUUUUCUGAUUGUUAUGGUUCUUAUGGAGUAAUGAAAAAGGGGAAAGCAAUUUCAAAACAGAGGAAAAAAGAAGGAAAGAUAGGUUAUAGUAGGAAAGUAGAUGAGGACAUAGAAUAUGUAAGUAACACGAAAGAAGUAAACAAAACAAUAGGUGUUAAAAAUAUGUACAUUUGCAAUAAUAAUAAAAUUGGAAAAAAAGAAGUAUAUAGUAAUUAUUUGGAAGAGGAGGAUGAUGUUGAUGAUGAUGAUAAUAAGUCAUCAGAAGAAAUGUUUGAAGAAAAUGACAUAAUAAAAAACACACAAAAGAAAAUUAAAAAAAAAAUAAAAAAAAAAAAAAACUUUGGUACAAAUGUUAUGUAUGACUCUUUUAAUUUUUUUAAUUUUCAAAGUGAUAAAAAAAAAAAAAAAAAAAAAAAAAAAAAAAAUGCAAAUAGCAUGAGGCAUGUUCACAACAUACAUAGUGUUAAUAAUAAUGUUGAAAUGGUAGAUGGUGAUGGAAAAAAAAAUAGAAAAAAUGGAUCCAUUUCUAAUCCAUUGAAUAGUAGUUAUAUUACGAGACCCGAUUUAAAAAUGAUGUGUACUUAUAAACCCUUUGAAAAUUUAAAACAUGUAAAGGAACAAAAAACAGAGUUAAUAAAUGACCAAAAACGUAGUAACAUAAAUGAAAAACAUGUUAAAACUUUUAAUAAUGAAAAAAAUGUUGGUGAUAAAGAAGACUUUCUAAAAAGAGAAUAUAUUACUAUACCGAAUAUAAUAAAUAAUUUUUUAACUUUAUUACCUGAAGAAAAUACAAGCUUAAAUUUGUCAAACAACUCAAUAGAUUACUUAAUUAAUUCAUUACAAAAUUUAUCAAUACCCAAAUUAGACCAUUUCCCUUACGAACCCAUACCAGUAAAGGAAAUAAUGCAAAUGAAAAACGAGUUAAAUAUUUAAAAUUUUUUUUUUCUUUUUUUUGACAACUUUUCAAGUUUUAAAUGAAGUGGCAGCGUUGCGUUUGUUCGCAUGUGCGUGCGUGCGCUUAUAUAUAUAUUUAUGUAUAUGUAUAUAUAUAUAUAUAUAUAUAUAUAUAUAUGCUAAUGUAUAUGCUUAUGUAUAUGCUAAUGUAUAUGCUUAUGUAUAUGCUAAUGUAUAUGCUUAUAUAUAUAUAUAUUUUUUUUUUAAUAUUGUGAACAUGGAUACAUAGCAUACCAAUGGGAGUAAAAAUCUAUAAAAAAAAAAAAAGAAAACGCAUUUUGUGCUUUCUACAUAUAUUUUGCACCAGCUACAUUUUCGAGCUUUUACAAUUUUACACUUUUAUAAAACAAACAAACAAACAAACAAACAAAAACUUAUUUAUAAUGUGUUAUGUCUUUU